rnacentral:tRNA from 1 species
AGGAGAAUAGUUAAAUAUAACAUUUAAAUUGCAAUUAAAAAUUACAAAAAAAAUUGUUUCUCUUA